UGUGCCAUGGAUUAAUUGGUUAAAGUGCAUGUUUAGUAAAAAUAAGAUCCUGUUUUCAAAUCCCAGUGUUGCCG